rnacentral:rRNA from 1 species
AGACCCGAAACCCGGUGAUCUAGCCAUGGGCAGGUUGAAGGUUGGGUAACACUAACUGGAGGACCGAACCGACUAAUGUUGAAAAAUUAGCGGAUGACCUGUGGCUGGGGGUGAAAGGCCAAUCAAACCGGGAGAUAGCUGGUUCUCCCCGAAAGCUAUUUAGGUAGCGCCUCGUGAAUUCAUCUCCGGGGGUAGAGCACUGUUUCGGCUAGGGGGCCAUCCCGGCUUACCAACCCGAUGCAAACUGCGAAUACCGGAGAAUGUUAUCACGGGAGACACACGGCGGGUGCUAACGUCCGUCGUGAAGAGGGAAACAACCCAGACCGCCAGCUAAGGUCCCAAAGUCAUGGUUAAGUGGGAAACGAUGUGGGAAGGCCCAGACAGCCAGGAUGUUGGCUUAGAAGCAGCCAUCAUUUAAAGAAAGCGUAAUAGCUCACUGGUCGAGUCGGCCUGCGCGGAAGAUGUAACGGGGCUAAACCAUGCACCGAAGCUGCGGCAGCGACACUGUGUGUUGUUGGGUAGGGGAGCGUUCUGUAAGCCUGUGAAGGUGUGCUGUGAGGC